rnacentral:rRNA from 1 species
UACGAAGGGGGCUAGCGUUGCUCGGAAUUACUGGGCGUAAAGCGCACGCAGGCGGUCGCGUAAGAGUGCGGGGACAGUGGGCGGCUUAACUGCCCAAGGGUCGCACAGACUGCGUGACUGGAGGGCCAGAGAGGGACCUGGAAUUCCGGGUGGAGCGGUGAAAUGCGUAGAGAUCCGGAGGAACACCAAUGGCGAAGGCAGGGUCCUGGCUGGCACCUGACGCUCAUGUGCGAAAGCCAGGGGAGCGAACGGG